AUAAAAGUAUGUUUAAAAGUCGUGUCUUCGGUUAAGGGUUCUUGGCAAUGUUGGUUUUGGAUUUACUUGUUUUAUCGUCUUCGGAGUGUGAAUUUUUUAAAUAAUCGUAAGAAAUUGUCUUUAGUUUCAAAAGUAGCACAGCUUAAUUCUGUUUAAGGCAGACUAAGCUAAAAAUUGCGACGCGGAUAUCGAUUGCAGACACGUAUUAUAAAUUUGGCAGCAAUCCACUAUUGUCAAUGCUGUGCUGAAUUAGCUCGACAGAAUUGAAUUGUGUUCACUAUGGAGUACGCUUUUGUCUUCAGCGAAAAGCGCCCCUCAGGAGAAGAGCUCCGGCAGUUUCGAUCGUUCGUGCAAAAGGAGCAGGUGCCCAGGCCCCCACCAAAUGUAAAAACACUGUUAGAUAGAUAGAUAAACAGGGGCAUGCUACAGGUUUACAAUUGCUACAGCGUUUUAAUAGUGAAAUUACAAUAGUUAUGUAUAUAUGAAGCCAUUUUAUGGGGACAUGUAGAUACAGUUUAGAAAUAAAUGAACUUCAUUGAUCCCUGAGAUAAAUUCUUGUCUGUAGAGCACAGAUAAACAUACAUUUAGAUUCCCUCAUUAUGUUCCUCCAUUCCAGGAUAAUACUACCCCCACAAACCCAUUAAAAUGGCUUUAUGAACACAAAGAUAAAGGCAAAAUGUUACAGGUGAACACUGAAACCCCCUUCGUAAUAUAAUGAGCUAAUCACAGGCUGGUAAGUUGUGUGAAUAAUUUAGCAUCUUAAAACUCAUUAAACAUAUCUUUGAGUUUCACUUUCUAUUCCGGUCCCUUCACCUGGUUAUGCUACGUCAUGUAUGAUAACACCCAGGUGACUCAGCGCUUUAUGUUUCAUGAUUGCUUGUUUUUGUCUUUUACUUCCUCUUCACUGAUACUAUCACCCAGCAUUGUGAGUAUCGAGUAAAGUGGGGGGAUGCUGGCUGAGAGGUGAACACCCUGAUGCCAAGGUAGACCAGUAGAGGUGGGGAAAUAUGUUUGUUGAAUUUUUGAGCUUAGUUUGCUGGUGUUUUGUGACCAGCCAGGACUUAUAGGGAAAUUGGUGUUAUAGUAUAUUAACUUGCUGCUUUUUGGGUGCGUUGUGCUUGCAGCAGAGUGUAUCUGUAGCGCUGUGAUAUCACCAACUGCGAGGUCUGGAGUUGUAUUCUAAGUGGCUUCAUUAGAAGCCAUUGGAGAUGUUGAUUUUAUUUAUCUCCCACACAUGAAGUCUAGGUUGCAGCAACCCUGACCGGAAUAGGUAUGUAGAAGUUGUGUGGAUAGAUAGAUGGAUGUGUAAAAUGUGAGGAGGUCGGAAGAUAAGCAUUAAAGCACGUAACAUAGCUGAAUAAGCGUAAAUUAAUUCAAAUUCUGAAGGAGAGUACAAGUCCUGCUUUUUCUGAAACUUUGGAACACAAACACAUUUCUUUAGCAAACUAAGUGCAUAAGAGUAAAUGCUUGAAAAUAUAUGUAAUUAAAUAAAUAAACCACUACAUGGAAGAGUUACAACCGAGAAACUGAAAACAAAAAGAAAAAAAAAAUGAGGUGAGGAAAACAAAACUUAAAGGCAUUUUUUUGAGUGUCAGGGGGAUGUUUACAUCAGAACUCAGAAAUGAAAAUUGUUCUCUGUUGUUCCACUUUACCAAUAUAACGCAGAGAGAUUGAAAGUCUAGACAUGGGAAGAAGAGAAUUGUGUCUGGGUGAAUGGACUGCAUAUGGGUGAUGUGAUUAUUGAGAUGCUGGAUAAGUUUAUUAAGCAGCUGGAUGGUUACAGGAACCAAACUGUGGUGAUGGCAUGUUGGUGAGGUCAUGAUGGACUUGUACUUUCUCCAUGUUUGCAGUUAGGUGGAGAGGUGACUGUCUCGUCAAGCAAUCGACUAACUCAUUACAGAUGAGGUUUCUGAUGCUUCUCACUAUGGAUUUAAUAUUGGAUUUAACUGAGCAAAUGUUUUUUGGACAUGAAUUAAUAAUGUAGUCAAGGCCACUUAAACGGAGGCCAAGUCAGUACCAAGACCAGAGUGUUACACUUAUGAUUGGUAAAUUGAAAUUUGUAAAUGCAACUAUUAGUAGGCAUUUUAGCUUCAAACAACAUACCAACGUGGCAGCACGUCAUUAUGUUUACAUAUAGUAGGUUUUCCUUAUACAAUGGGCGCAUUUUGUUUUGGCAGAGCUCAACAUCAGACACACAUACAAACUUUUGUGAAUAAAUAUUGCAAAAAUAUCAGUAAUUGUCUUCCUACUAAAUAGAAUGCUGUGUUUUGUUAUUUCUAGUAGAACUCAAUGUAUAACACACAUAUGACUAUAAUGUGUUAUGCCUUUUUAUGAAUAAUUAUAGCCGUGAUUAUAAUACUUUCUAAAUGUAGUAUAAUGCAUUAUGAAGGUAUGUAUAAUGCAAUAUGAUGACUGCUUUAAGUAAAUUGUUACCAAUGCUUUUUCCCAGUAAGGUACUGCAUGUAUCAUUGUGGAUAUGCGAUUUGUUUUCCAUCUAAUAUGAAUAAUACCAAUGUUUUAUAGAUUAUUAGGGGUGCUUUUACAUAGAAAAUGUUUAAAAUAUAUGCCUCAUUGCGCACAGGAUUAUUCUGGAAUAUUUUAGCGCACAUCGUUGCACCUUGGAUGACUGGAUCGAGUAAAUUCUCUCAAUUGCAAAGAUUUGCAAUCCA